rnacentral:misc_RNA from 1 species
CUGGGAUUGCUACAACAAGAAAUGGUGCCGAAGGACCAGUUGCGAGCUCUGAUGGAAACCAUAAAGGCAUAGGCUGUAGUGAAUCUUUUAGAUUGCACAAGGUCUUGCAAGGUCAAGAAAUAAUUCCAAGAUCACCAUUUAGAAGAUCCCCAACUUCUAAUGAUGUCUCUGAAAAUGGUUGCUUUGGAAUAUCUGAUGGUGUUCAAAUGACAAGCUCAAGAAAUGGAUGGUCUGCCAUGAUGCAGGGUUAUAAUACUCAUAUGCGCCCACCCAC